rnacentral:rRNA from 1 species
CCGGCACGGGUGAGUAACACGUAUCCAACCUGCCGUCUACUCUUGGACAGCCUUCUGAAAGGAAGAUUAAUACAAGAUGGCAUCAUGAGUCCGCAUGUUCACAUGAUUAAAGGUAUUCCGGUAGACGAUGGGGAUGCGUUCCAUUAGAUAGUAGGCGGGGUAACGGCCCACCUAGCUUCGAUGGAUAGGGGUUCUGAGAGGAAGGUCCCCCACAUUGGAACUGAGACACGGUCCAA